AAGUGACGUAGGCACGCAGCAGUUCAUAUACUUUACCUUUAUAGUGUAAUUUUAGUGAUUUUGUAAGGGCCCUGAUAAGCAGUGGAAUAUAAACCUUUUUUUGUUCAAUGGCCCAAAUAAACCAACUGAUGAGAUGUGUGAAGAAAAAAAACACAAUUACCAGGAGAACUGACCUUGGUGUGCAGGCCUCAGUGGAUAAAGAGCACCACGAGGAGGAGGAGGAUUCUGAGACCAGGGAGGUGGAGCCUGAGACCAGGGAGGUGGAGCAACACAAUUGAGAGGAGGAAAAUAUUGGGAUCUGGCGCAUAACGCCCUGUUCACACACUCCAGGAUCUCGGGGAGCAACACGCCCUGGUGCUUCCCCCCUUGUGUGGGUACCCAUUUUUGGACGCUUGGGUCACCACCCUGCGUGUCACAGCUUCCGGUCAACCUGUGCAGGUCAGCCACCUGGCCUUGAACCCUGAACCUCGUGAUUCUGCACCAGUGCUCAUACCCCUGAGCCACUUGGUCCUGCACACUAUGUGACAGUUCUCCUGGCGUAUUCAUCUUUCGCUUUAUGUUUUAAAUACAUAAGAAAUGUGCAUGUGAAUGGUCUUGAACCCUGAACCACCUGGUCUAAUGUCAGUGCUCUUACCACUGAGCCACUGGGUUCUGCAUGAAUGAGAAGUUUCUCCUGGUGUGUUCAUCUGUCGUUUUACGUUUUAAAUACAUAAGAAAUGUGCAUGUGCAUGGUCUUGAACCCUGAACCACCUAGUCAACUGUCAGUGCUCUUACCACUGAGCCACUGG